AACGAACGCUGGCGGCAUGCCUAACACAUGCAAGUCGAACGAUUGCCUUCGGGUGAUAGUGGCGCACGGGUGCGUAACGCGUGGGAAUCUGCCCUCAGGUUCGGAAUAACAGCUGGAAACGGCUGCUAAUACCGGAUGAUAUCGCGAGAUCAAAGAUUUAUCGCCUGAGGAUGAGCCCGCGUUGGAUUAGGUAGUUGGUGGGGUAAAGGCCUACCAAGCCGACGAUCCAUAGCUGGUCUGAGAGGAUGAUCAGCCACACUGGGACUGAGACACGGCCCAGACUCCUACGGGAGGCAGCAGUGGGGAAUAUUGGACAAUGGGCGCAAGCCUGAUCCAGCAAUGCCGCGUGAGUGAUGAAGGCCCUAGGGUUGUAAAGCUCUUUUACCCGGGAAGAUAAUGACUGUACCGGGAGAAUAAGCCCCGGCUAACUCCGUG
rnacentral:rRNA from 1 species